GUGCUUCUGCUCCUGUGGCAUCUAAUGAGAUUCCCCUCGUUAAAGUCUUUAGUGUAGUAAUCUGGACCUGCACACACACGACCCGAGAUCUGCGCAGAGCGACAGCAGAUCCAGAAGAACAGGGAUAUUCUGAGUGUGGCGCUGUUAGUGGAGUUUCAUCGGCCCUGAGUGACUGGAGCGACACAGGUGGCUGUUACUGGAUAGAGUCGAGGGUCACUGAACAAUACAGUCUAUUUGAGUCUCUCCAUCUGUCCCCGUGUGUGUGAUUACAGCACCGUCUGAUGAUGAUCCAGCCGCACACACAGAUAGUGCUGCUAUAGAUCUGAUCGUAAGCAUCAUGGAGUCCAUGCUGAAGACGUCUCUGCUGGCUCCCAUAAAGACGCUCAAGUUCUGCGUGAGCGGAGAGAAGCAGCGGUCCAAAAGAGGGUCCAAAUGGCCCGGGUCAAAGGGCAGGACCGGCGCGCCGGACCCGCGUCUGCUGCGAUCCUAUCAGGCCGACCUGGAGAGAGAGAGGAAGCUGCGCGAGGCGAUGAACGCUCAGAAGAACGCCGAGAGAGCUGCGAUCAGAGCACAUUUCAGGAGGAAAUACCAGCUGGCCAAGAAUGCCAAGGACGCGGAGCAGCUGCGUGCCGUGGGGGGGAGAGUGUGUCUCCCGCGAGAUCUGGCGAAGAUGGUUGGUCCCGAAGCCCCUGCUAAAGACGACAGCUUCGGACUUCUCAGGGCCUUCCAGAGCCUCAGCCUCAGCGCCGGGAUCUUCACGGGGAAACAGAGCCAAACACCCGCGUCACGCACCGACACGGAGCCCUGCAGGGUCAUGUGACGCUCAAACACACCGCCGACGGACGCUUUCACACGCAGUGUGUCACUCAUCACUGAUGCUUUGUGUUGUUUUAUGAAUGCACAAGCGUGUCUCAGUCGCACAAUAACACCGCAGUGGGAGCUUUGACAUAGUUUUGUGUUUAUUACCUCAUAUGCUUCACACAAACAUCAGGAAACUCAUAUUUCUCUUACACUUUUUAUUUUAUUUUCAAUUUAUUUUAUCGGGAUUUGUGGGUUUAUAAUUGUUGUAAACGUGUCACUUGUUUAUGUAGUUCUCUGAAAGAGAUCAUAUAGGCUUGGAUAGUUUUAUAUGAAGCUAAUUAUAAUGACAGCAGACUAACUACAAGAAAACGUGACAAAACAUUUCAUUUAUCAAGCAGUUUUACCUUUGAAGGCAUCUCAUUUUGAUUGAUUUGAACUCUCUUAUGGAGCUUGCAUAGCUGUACUUUGGGAAAAAACACACACAGAGUUAAUGUACUGGAUCGUGUGUGUGUGUGUGUGUGUUUGUGUGUGUGUGUGUG